GACGAACCAUGCAAACGUUAUUCGGAAUCACUGGGCUUAAAGCGUGCGUAGGCGGCUCAGAAAGUUGGGUGUGAAAUCCCUCGGCCUAACCGAGGAAUUGCGCCCAAAACUACUGAGCUCGAGGGAGUUAGAGGUGAGCGGAACUCACGGUGGAGCGGUGAAAUGCGUUGAUAUCGUGAGGAACACCGGAGGCGAAAGCGGCUCACUGGGGCUUUUCUGACGCUGAGGCACGAAAGCUAGGGGAGCAAACGGG
rnacentral:rRNA from 1 species